UACGUAGGGGGCGAGCGUUGUCCGGAAUUACUGGGCGUAAAGGGUGCGUAGGCGGAGAAACAAGUCAGGUGUGAAAGCCUGGGGCUCAACCCCAGGAUUGCACUUGAAACUGUUUUCCUUGAGUGCAGGAGAGGUAAGUGGAAUUCCUAGUGUAGCGGUGAAAUGCGUAGAUAUUAGGAGGAACACCAGUGGCGAAGGCGACUUACUGGACUGUAACUGACGCUGAGGCA
rnacentral:rRNA from 1 species